GUAGAAGAAAGGCAUUUUCAAAAUGGAAUACCAAAUAACAUACCAGAAAAACUCUUCCAGAAAACAAAACAGAGUUCCGUGAGCACACAAUAUAUUUUGUCUGGGCCUGGAUACUUGAUUUCAUUGGAGGUACCCAAGGAACUCUCUUGAUCUCACAGGCACUGUGAUGGAUGCUGGGAAUAUACAGAUCAGUGAACAGUUAUAAUGUGCUAAGUGGUCCAGAUUUAGCAUGCAACGUGGGUGCCUGACAAGGACAUCCAACAGUCCAGAAAAAGAUUCCUCUGGGAAAGGGAGAUGGAGUACAAGGUCCUUAAGUCCCCUAUGCUUGAGAUUGAGGCAAAGACAACUAGUCCAUUCAAGAGACAAAGAAUCAUAGUGUAAAGAGAGUGAUCUCGAGUCCACACAAGCAGUAGCAGGGAUGGACUCUUUAACACAUGGAAGAAUGCCUGGUCCAGGUAUAUCACUUAAGUACAUAUGCAUGACUAUUAACCAUAGCUGAAUUCUGGAAGGUUCACAAAUACAAGAAAUAAAUUUGGAACACAGUAAGAUGGAGACUGGGAGAUUUUCUGAGGAGUCCCAGGAAUCCCUACAAGGCUGCCUUAAGAGACCUGGGCUCCUUCGUAAGCCUGUAUGCACCCUAGUAGUCAUGGACAGAACUCAUGGAAUAUUUAUGGUCAAAUUCUACAGAAGAAAACUUUAGGUCAUGAAAUCAGUUUCUUCAUACUUAAAUGAAUGAACACAUGUACAUACACAUCCCUUAAAAUAUACCUCGAUUCCCUUGAAAUAAAGCAUUUUUCAUUUUGUGAACUUUUUUUUGUGUCUGUGAUUUUAUGCUUCAAAGCCAUAUGCUUCCCCUAGUCAUAAUUUUUGCUUUAAAAUUCCUUUAAUCACUUGAUUAUAUAAUUUGUGAAAUUUUCAUUUUAUAUAUAUAUAUAUAUUUUUUUUUUUUUAAUCUUUGUAUCCAUGAAUCUAGCCCUUAUUUGAAGUUAAUUUGCUUCAGGCAAUUGGGUAAUCUACUUCUGAUCCUACAUAAAUCAACAAACUGAGAAAAGCAAAUAUCAGAAGGGCCAUGGAUCCAUAAAGCUGUAUUAAAUAACAAAGUGGUCAGGCAUUUUCUUAAGGGAGAAAAUGACAAAAAAUUCAUUUGUUUAAUAAAAACAACAACAAGAAAUAGGCCCGAGCCAAAGACAGCAAUUUCUUGUUAAAAAAGCAAAUAGCCUUCACAAUUUCAAACACACUGUCACACCUGCUUUCAAAUAUAAAAAUAAAGCUGCUAAACAUUCCUGAAGAGAAUGGGUAACUGCAGAUUAUUUGAACAUCUUUGAACUUCAGCCUCAGCUACAGAAGAAUAACUGUCCUUAUCCUUUUUAUCUUGCACAGUCAUGAGAAGGUGAGAAUGCUUUGAAAUUUACACAAAUGUGAAGGUGACUUACUGAUGAAAUGUUGACAAGUCAGUCACUUCUAAUUUGUCCUUCCUAAACUAGCCACAGUCAGAUAUAAACCUAGCUUAAAGACCUAUAUUAAGGUUCAAACCUGGGGUAAUAUUCACACUAGCCCAAAUUUUUACAAAUUUAGCCAACUGGCUUAACCAACUAAUAAAUACAGUUAAUUUUAAAAAGACAUUUUAGGAAAAAGAA